rnacentral:rRNA from 1 species
CCUGAUGGAGGGGGAUAACUACUGGAAACGGUAGCUAAUACCGCAUAACGUCGCAAGACCAAAGAGGGGGACCUUCGGGCCUCUUGCCAUCAGAUGUGCCCAGAUGGGAUUAGCUAGUAGGUGGGGUAACGGCUCACCUAGGCGACGAUCCCUAGCUGGUCUGAGAGGAUGACAGCCACACUGGAACUGAGACACGGUCCAGACUCCUACGGGAGGCAGCAGUGGGGAAUAUUGCACAAUGGGCGCAAGCCUGAUGCAGCCAUGCCGCGUGUAUGAAGAAGGCCUUCGGGUUGUAAAGUACUUUCAGCGGGGAGGAAGGCGAUAAGGUUAAUAACCUUGUCGAUUGACGUUACCCGCAGAAGAAGCACCGGCUAACUCCGUGCCAGCAGCCGCGGUAAU